AGUAGUUUGACUCCGUGCUACGAGACACGCUGGCGGCACGCUUAACACAUGCAAGUCGAACGGAGAACUUUUAGUUUACUGAGAGUUCUUAGUGGCGACGGGUGAGUAACACGUGAGCAACCUGCCUCUGAGAGAGGGAUAGCUUCUGGAAACGGAUGGUAAUACCUCAUAACAUAUACGGAAGACAUCUUCUGUAUAUCAAAGAUUUAUCGCUCAGAGAUGGGCUCGCGUCUGAUUAGGUAGUUGGUGAGGUAACGGCUCACCAAGCCGACGAUCAGUAGCCGGACUGAGAGGUUGAACGGCCACAUUGGGACUGAGACACGGCCCAGACUCC
rnacentral:rRNA from 1 species